UGGCGAACGGGUGAGUAACACGUGGGUGAUCUGCCUUGCACUCUGGGAUAAGCUUGGGAAACUGGGUCUAAUACCGGAUAGGAACCGUCUUUAGUGUGGUGGUUGGAAAGUUUUUUCGGUGCAAGAUGAGCUCGCGGCCUAUCAGCUUGUUGGUGGGGUAAUGGCCUACCAAGGCGGCGACGGGUAGCCGGCCUGAGAGGAUGGACGGCCACAUUGGGACUGAGAUACGGCCCAG
rnacentral:rRNA from 1 species